GGAUGUGAGGGCAAUCUGGCUGUGACCUCUGUCACCUUAAUGAUCUCAGGGUUGAUUUGGCUGGUCUGGCUGGCUAGGUGGGUGUCCCCUUCCUCCCUCACCACUCCAGUGCAUCCCUCCUGAAGCUGCAUGCUUUGUCAAAGAGGAUGACCUUCCUGAUAGAGGAAGACCAUUAUUCUGUCAAGGGUAUAUGAGGAGCUAUGCUCCCCUGUUAGAACCUCCAAACAAGCUCUCAAGAUCUUGGGUUUGGAGAUUUAUUUUUUUUUUUUUUGAGACGGAGUUUCGCUCUUGUUACCCAGG
rnacentral:snRNA from 1 species